GUACACAAAAAUGCACAUACUGUGAGCUCGAUGAGUAGGGCGGGACACGUGGUAUCCUGUCUGAAUAUGGGGGGACCAUCCUCCAAGGCUAAAUACUCCUGACUGACCGAUAGUGAACCAGUACCGUGAGGGAAAGGCGAAAAGAACCCCGGCGAGGGGAGUGAAAAAGAACCUGAAACCGUGUACGUACAAGCAGUGGGAGCCUCUUAAUGGGGUGACUGCGUACCUUUUGUAUAAUGGGUCAGCGACUUAUAUUCUGUAGCAAGGUUAACCGAAUAGGGGAGCCGAAGGGAAACCGAGUCUUAACUGGGCGUUAAGUUGCAGGGUAUAGACCCGAAACCCGGUGAUCUAGCCAUGGGCAGGUUGAAGGUUGGGUAACACUAACUGGAGGACCGAACCGACUAAUGUUGAAAAAUUAGCGGAUGACUUGUGGCUGGGGGUGAAAGGCCAAUCAAACCGGGAGAUAGCUGGUUCUCCCCGAAAGCUAUUUAGGUAGCGCCUCGUGAAUUCAUCUCCGGGGGUAGAGCACUGUUUCGGCAAGGGGGUCAUCCCGACUUACCAACCCGAUGCAAACUGCGAAUACCGGAGAAUGUUAUCACGGGAGACACACGGCGGGUGCUAACGUCCGUCGUGAAGAGGGAAACAACCCAGACC
rnacentral:rRNA from 1 species